rnacentral:rRNA from 1 species
CCUACGGGAGGCAGCAGUGAGGAAUAUUGGUCAAUGGCCGUAAGGCUGAACCAGCCAAGUAGCGUGAGGGAAGACUGCCCUAUGGGUUGUAAACCUCUUUUCUGCGGGGCUCCCGGUGUCCCCGUGUGGAUGUUUGCAGGUACCGCAUGAAUACGGACCGGCUAACUCCGUGCCAGCCGCCGCGGUAAUACGGCCGGUCCGGGCGUUCUCCGGCUUUCUUGGGUUUACAGGGAGCGUCGGCCGGUCUUUCAGCGUGCCGUGCCAUUUUGUGGCUCCACCGUCACAUUGCAAUUGCUACUGGCAGUCUUGAGUACAGUUGAGGUAGGCGGAAUUCGUGGUGUAGCGGUGAAAUGCUUAGAUAUCACGAAGAACUCCGAUUGCGAAGGCAGCUUACUAAACUGCCACUGACAUUGAUGCUCGAAAGUGUGGGUAUCAAACAGGAUUAGAUACCCGAGUAGUC